rnacentral:rRNA from 1 species
GUGGGGAAUAUUGCACAAUGGGCGAAAGCCUGAUGCAGCAACGCCGCGUGAGGGACGACGGCCUUCGGGUUGUAAACCUCUUUUAGUAGGGAAGAAGCGAAAGUGACGGUACCUGCAGAAAAAGCACCGGCUAACUACGUGCCAGCAGCCGCGGUAAUACGUAGUGUGCAAGGGUUAUCCGGAAUUAUUGGGCGUAAAGAGCUCGUAGGCGGUCUGUCGCGUCUGCUGUGAAAACUGGAGGCUCAACCUCCAGCCUGCAGUGGGUACGGGCAGACUAGAGUGCGGUAGGGGAGAAUGGAAUUCCUGGUGUAGCGGUGGAAUGCGCAGAUAUCAGGAGGAACACCGAUGGCGAAGGCAGAUCUCUGGGCCGUAACUGACGCUGAGGAGCGAAAGCGUGGGGAGCGAACAGGAUUAGAAACCCUAGUAGUCC